rnacentral:rRNA from 1 species
CGGGGGGAGCAAGCGUUGUUCGGAUUUACUGGGCGUAAAGGGCGCGUAGGCGGCCACCGCAAGUCGACUGUGAAAUCUCUGGGCUUAACCCAGAAAGGUCAGCCGAUACUGCGGGGCUAGAGUGCAGAAGGGGCAACUGGAAUUCUCGGUGUAGCGGUGAAAUGCGUAGAUAUCGAGAGGAACACCUGCGGCGAAGGCGGGUUGCUGGGCUGACACUGACGCUGAAGCGCGAAAGCUAGGGGAGCGAACGGGAUUAGAUACCCCGGUAGUCCUAGCCUUAAACGAUGAAUGCUUGGUGUCUGGGGUUUUAUAGUCCCCGGGUGCCGUCGCUAACGCUUUAAGCAUUCCGCCUGGGGAGUACGGUCGCAAGACUG